AUGGGACUUUCUUUAUAAUUUUUUAACUCAUGAAAUGAUAUUUAUUAUUUGAGGUAUUGAUUCAUCAUAUUAGUUGCAUCUUAUUAUGUCUAAGAUUAUGAUGAACCCUAAAGAUCAGGACAAUGGUUUUAGAAGACAUGAAUGGGUUAUUCUAGUAAGAUCUAAAACCCUAAAAUCUUAAUCUUAAAUAUUUCUGAUUGAAGGAGCAUUGAGUCAGAGAUCAAUGUUUCAGAUAGACUGGUACAUCCUAUGUAUGCUUGAUGGAGAGGG
rnacentral:lncRNA from 1 species